rnacentral:lncRNA from 1 species
GUGGUGUGUUUACCUAUGUUGUGUGCUUCUUCUUGUUAGUUCCUGUUUCGUUGCGAUCGUGAGGAUCCGUUCGUCUUCUUCAUGGACUCGUUCUUCUUCCUUGCGGGAUUUCGGGCAAGAUGACCGCUACCCUGUAUCUCACUACUAUCAUUUCUAUGCUAGUUGCCUCGUUCUUUCGCUAUGCUGCGCUACCUAUUACCUGUUUGUCCAGCCAUCCCAAAUUGCCAUGAACCUCUAACCUUUGACACCAUUCCUAGCAAACCGUUGUUUGGCUAUGUUACCGCUUUGCUCAGACCCUCUUAUAGCGUUGCUAGUUGCAGGUGAAGUUGAAGAUUUCUCCAUGGUGGACAGGGUUUAUGUUGGGAUAUCACAAUAUCUCUUAUAAUACUAAUGCAUCUAUAUAUUUGGUAAAGGGUGGAAGGCUCGGCCUUAUGCCUGGUGUUUUGUUCCACUCUUGCCGCCCUAGUUUCCGUCAUACCGGUGUUAUGUUCCCGGAUUUUGUGUUCCUAACGCGGUCGGGUGAUUUAUGGGACCCCCUUGACAGUUCGCUUUGAAUAAAACUUGUCCAGCAAGGCCCAACAUUGACUUUUACCAUUUGCCUCACCACCACCUACUUUUCCCUUGGGAGUAAUUAACCCAAGGGUCAUAUUUAUUAUAGCCCCCCCGGGCCAGUGCUUGUCUAAGCGUUGGUCCAAACUAGAGCACCGUGCGGGACCAUCCCUUGGCAACUUGGGUUACGUCGGUACCUGUACGCUUCGCUUAUCCGGUGUUGCCCUGAGAACGAGAUAUGUGCAGCUCCUAUCGGGAUUGUCGGCACAUCGGGCGGCUUUGCUGGUCUUGUUUUACCAUUGUCGAAAUGUCUUGAUGUACCGGGAUACCGAGUCUGAUCGGAGUGUCUCGGGUGAAGGUCUAUUCCUUUGAUGAUCGCGACAGCUUGUCAUGGGCUAAGUUGGGACACCCCUGCAGGGUAUAAACUUUCGAAAGCCGUGCCCGCGGUUAUGUGGCAGAUGGGAAUUUGUUAAUGUCCGGUUGUAGACAACUUGACACCAGAUCCGAAUUAAAACGCAUCAACCGAGUGUGUAGCCGUGAUGGUCUCUUCUCGGUGGAGUCCGGGAAGUGAACACGGUUUCUGGGUUAUGUUUGACGUAAGUAGGUGUUCAGGAUCACCUCUUGAUCAUUGCUAGCUUCACGACCGUUCCGCUUGUUCUCUUCUCGCUCUCAUUUGCGUAUGUUAGCCACCAUAUAUGCUUAGCCGCUGCUGCAACCUCACCACUUUACCCUUCCUUUCCCAUUAAGCUUUGCUAGUGUUGAUACCCAUGGUAAUGGGAUUGCUGAGUCCUCGUGACUCACCAGAUACUUCCAAAACCAGUUUGCAGGUGCCUAUGUUACCGAGCAGGUGACGCAACCAAGCUCAAGGAGGAGCUCGAUGAAGAUCUUGCCCUUUGUGUUGUUUCGUUCUAGUUGAUCAGUAGUGGAGCCCAGUUGGGGUCGAUCGGGGACCUUUGUCGCAUUUGGGGUUCUCCUUUUAUUUUGGUUCCGUAGUCGGACCUUGUUUGUAUCUGGAUGAUGUAAUGCUUUACUCAUGUAAUUGUGUGAAGUGGCGAUUGUAAGCCAACUAUGUAUCUCUUUCCCUUAUGUAUUACUUGGGUUGUGUGAAGAUUACCUCACUUGCGACAUUGCUUCCAAUGCGGUUAUGCCUCUAAGUCGUGCUUCGACACGUGGGAGAUAUAGCCGCAUCGAGGGCGUUACAAGUUGGUAAUCAGAGCCUUCCCCUACCUUAGGAGCCCCACUGCUUGAUCGUUUUUAGCGGCCGAGUUGUGUCUAGAAAAAUGUUUUGAGUCAUUUAGGAUUAUAUAUAUCGGAGAGUUAGGAAUUCUUUUUACUCCUCAGUCCCUUCGUCGCUCUGGUGAGGUAUCCUGACGUAGAGUUUUGACUCUUCUCUUCUCAAAUUUCACUAAAUUUUUUUUAGGAUCACGCGGGUAUCUUAGAAUCGUUCCGAUGGUUUUAUGAUGAGAACAUUGUCUUGGUGCCUCCCGUCAGCAGGGGUUUAGUGGAGGUGUCCCGGGGAGUUGAGCUCUAAGGUGUUGUCGUCAUAAUUUUAUCGUUGCAGUUCUGGAAUACCUGAGUUUAGUACGCCGACAUAGAAAAUCUCUUUUAUGCAGUUGUUGGUGAGAUAACCCCGAUAACCCAGUACUGAGGUGAGUACGGGAGUAUUGCCAUGACUCGUAUAACGGAUGCUUUUCGAAGGUUGAGGUACACGAUUUCCGAAGGUUUCUUGGUUAUGUGUUGACGGAUGGAUACAGCUGGAUGUAGGGAUUGUUAGUUUGGGUGAGAUAUAUUGCUUCCCCUGUAUCCCCAACACCAGAUUGCAUAACCAGAAAGUUUCGGGAGUUUUAUAGGUGGGAAUUCAAGUAGCUCCUAGAAUAUCUUUCCGACAGAUGCAUGAUAUGGGAUUGGGUAAAUCUCUAUCAUAUGUUUGUUCCGGCUUAUUCUGCAAGCCAAAUCCUUUGUUUUGUUUUAUUUGUGGUAUUCGAGUUGCUUCGAAGUCAAAUGUUGAAUCCAUACCUUUCCUAAACGGUGUUCUCAUAUUGCUAUGUGAAUACCAAUCCUUCUCGACAAUCGAGAUUGUCAUGUUAAUUCUUUUCCAACCGGUGCGUUUCUCUUCGAGAUGAUCCUAUCAUUCUCCCCAUCCGCAAGAUCAUUUCUAAGUUUUCUCAACGGUGUUUGUUUCAUCCGUCCCCAAGUUGCCUUUGUUUUCCCGCCCUCCCACCCUUUUUCUUCAAGAUCUCAGAUUUCUUAAUCAUGUAUCCUAUUAUUUGUGGGAAGUCUCUUCAUUCUUUUCUUUCGAUGUUCUUAUCCGGCGAUUUCCCAUGAAAAUGCUCACGAGCUUCAAGUUCAUCAUCCUUCAUUAUUGUUUCUUCUCCAGUGGAUCCUAUUCAAGCUUUCGAUAUUCAUCUUAUUCCUUUCCUCGUUUCUAAUGCUUUCUCAUACCGGUGCACCUCAUUAUCAUUCUACUUCUCGCUAUUUGUUAUUUUGGAGUGCUCAAGAUAUCUCGAAGAUUCGUGUUUCCACUCUACAUUCGUUCAAGCUCUUUAGAGAUUGGUAUCUCAUUCAAGUCAUUUAAUUCAACCGGUGCAACAUCUCUUUUAAAUCUUUUCAACGGUGUUCUUUUGAGUGGGCCCUAACCCACAGGUCUUUUCCCAGGAUCUUACCUGACUCUUCUAUUUUCCCAGAGCUAUCCUAAAUUCUUCUCCAAGUUUGACGUAAGAAUGAGUUAUCAUCAGUCAAAUGCUUUUCUCCAAGAUCUUUCAAAUUCUUUUCAUAGUUGGCUCAACCUCUUCGCUUUUGAUUCUUCCGGUGUGCCUCAAUAAUUCUCGUUGGUGUUUCUCGUUGUCAUUCUCAUCAUUUGAAGACCGAAGAAGGAUUUCUCUUAAAUCUUGGUCCUUUCUCUUGAAUAUUCAUGGUUCUAGCUUCAUGCUAUCCUCAUAAUUGUUUUGAUUGUGACAAUUCUUUUCUUACCAUCCGGAGCAUUUCAUGAGUUGUUUUCCAUUUCUUUCCUCCGAAGGCCAUCAUGUCAAAAUUCUUCAUUCUCAGUGUGGAGCUAUCGUUCUCCAAAUCUUACCGGUGAUUCGUUCAAAUACCCUCUAAUCAGUUCAUGAUCUCUUCGUUCUCAUGUAUCUAAAUCCCCUCAAAUAUCUUCAUUCAUUUUCCAAUUCUUCCCGGUGAAUUGUGCCCUUGCUACUCUCUUUUUCAAUUCUUACGGUGGUUCUUUCAAGAUCUCUCUUCCUUGUUCAUCAUAUCAAUUCAUUCAUUCUUUCCAAUCCUACCGGUGGUUCGUUGAAGACCUUCUCAAGUUUUGAUAUAUCUAUUUUAAUCCUUUCUACGAGAAUAAGUAGUAUGCCAGAUCCGUUGUUUGUCAUCAAUUUAAAUUGGUGAAGGAUAUGCAUAACAUAAUUCUUGUUCUUGUUUCAUCCAAGUGAUUAAUUCCUUCUUUCGGAGUUUGUUCAUGAUGAAUAACUUCUCGGUUUCAGUUGUUUCAUCUUUUUUUUCCCGGAGUUCCAAGCUCUCAUCAUCACGAAGAUCCAUCUAAAUCAUUGCAAGGAUUCACCUUGUGUUUUCAACUUCUCUUUCUUUCUAUCACCCUUUUGUUUACCGGAGUUCUUCAUGGAGGCUCUACAUGGUGCUCAACGCAUGUUUUGUUUUGGGGAGUUCAAGUAUUCUUCAUCUUGCAUUUCGAAGUGCGAUUCUUUCGACCUUAUCUCUUGAGAUGGUGUUAUGUCACUCUUGACAAUUUCCAUUCAUGUUUCAUGAUUCAUAUGUUGUCAAGAAUGAGGUAUUCUAAAUCCAUCUUUUUCUCUUCGUUCAAGAGAUCGUUUCAACCAAUCAACUUCUUCGUUGGAGUUAUCUUGGGUUAUAUUUCACCUAAAGCUUUCCCUAAGGAUUGUUGCUAUUUAUGGUGUUUAUAAAUGACCCAAGUUCUUCUUUAUCCUCCCGGUGAUAUAGCUUUCUCGUCGCCUUGUUCAUAUCAAUGAAAUUCUUUUCCCGUGCUUGGCAGGUUGUCACCUCAUAAUUUGGGAUGCAUUCCUUAAGACCAUAUCAAGCUUAUUCUUUUCGUUGUUGGUUUUUCCAACAAUUCCGUUCUAACCUUCUUGGAAGGUUGCUUUCCAAGUUCGCUUGUGGCAGAAGUUGUCAUUUUCUUCUCCGUCCCUUUAUUCCAAUGAUUUAUCUUCUAUUCUUUCUUCCGAAGGCAUUGUGAUGUUGUGCUCUUCACCCAUCACCUCGUUUUGUGAGGAUCGUGUUCUUUUCUUGCUUAUCCAUUUAACGGGAGCGUUGUAUCAUCUCUUCAAUAUCUUUUCAUCUCAUCAAGUUUUCUUCUCUUUUCUACCAGAGUGCUGUCCAAAUUCUGUUAUUCUUGUUCCUUGGCUAUCUCAUUAUACCAAUGUGGCCAUAUUCUUUUCGUUCAUGAAGCGCUUAUUUCCAUGUCUUUCAACCUUCAAGUUCUCGUAAUACUACUUGUUCAUCUUUUCUAACGGAUUGUUUGCAAUCUCGUUCAUCUCUGUUGUUACUCUUUCUUUUAAAUUGCUCAACCUCUCAAGGUUCAUGGUUUCACUCGUUCAUCAAAGAAGCAACUUAGUUUUACCUCUUCUCUUCCUCUUCCGUUUUCCCUCCGGUGCCAUCCUAGAUCUCGGGACGAAAUCCUCUCGUAGUGGUGGAGUGUUGUAACGCCCCGGAUCCGAUGCGGAGGUGUCCGCCAGUUAUUCGCCGUCGUUGCCAUGUCAUUUGCUUGCGUGUUGCACGUUGCCAUGUCAUCAUAUGCAUUUCAUAUCAUGUCAUCAUGUGCAUUUCAUUUUGCAUACGUGUUCGUCUCAUGCAUCCGAGCCUUUUCCCCGUUGUCCGUUUUGCAAUCCGGCGCUCCUAUGUCCUCCGGCGUCCCCUUCUUCUCUCCUGUUGUGAGCGGGUGUUAAACGUUCUCGGAAUGGACCGAGGUUUGCCAAGCGGCCUUGGUAUAGCACCGGUAGACCGCCUGUCAAGUUUCGUGCCAUUUGGAGGUCGUUUGAUACUCCAACGGUUAACCGGGUAACCGUAAAGCCCUCUUUGAGUUGCAGCCCAACACCCCUUCCAAAGUGGCCCAAAACCCAUCUAACUCCCCUCCAUGCUCUCGGUCGUUCGAUCACGAUCGCGUGGCCGAAAACUGCUCCUCAUUUGGACUCUCCUAGCUCCCUCUACCUAUAAAUAUGCCCUCCCCUCCAAAUUCGCGGUCUAAUCCCCCGAAACCCUAGCAGAAUUCCUCCUCGCGCCGCCGGACGCGUCCGUCCCCGGCCGGACAUGUCCGCCGGCCACGUCGUCCGAGCCAAUCAGCGCCCGUCAAGUCAGCAGCGCCGCCGCCUCGCCCAAUGGCCUCGCGCCACCUGUCGCCGCCGCCUCCCACCNNNNNNNNNNNNNNNNNNNNNNNNNNNNNNNNNNNNNNNNNNNNNNNNNNNNNNNNNNNNNNNNNNNNNNNNNNNNNNNNNNNNNNNNNNNNNNNNNNNNNNNNNNNNNNNNNNNNNNNNNNNNNNNNNNNNNNNNNNNNNNNNNNNNNNNNNNNNNNNNNNNNNNNNNNNNNNNNNNNNNNNNNNNNNNNNNNNNNNNNNNNNNNNNNNNNNNNNNNNNNNNNNNNNNNNNNNNNNNNNNNNNNNNNNNNNNNNNNNNNNNNNNNNNNNNNNNNNNNNNNNNNNNNNNNNNNNNNNNNNNNNNNNNNNNNNNNNNNNNNNNNNNNNNNNNNNNNNNNNNNNNNNNNNNNNNNNNNNNNNNNNNNNNNNNNNNNNNNNNNNNNNNNNNNNNNNNNNNNNNNNNNNNNNNNNNNNNNNNNNNNNNNNNNNNNNNNNNNNNNNNNNNNNNNNNNNNNNNNNNNNNNNNNNNNNNNNNNNNNNNNNNNGACGCCCUGCCUCCGCCCGACGCCGCCGGCGCCGGAUCCGGCCAGAUCCGGCCGCCCCGGCCACUUCCCCGACCUCCGGCGUCCUCCUCCCGCAAGUCCGGCGACUCCCCGGCGAAUUCCGGCGAGCUCUCCGGCGUGCAUCAAUAACCGUGCCUGCAGGUUGACCCCCCCGAUUGUCUAAGUCCCCAGUUUUUGAUAUUUUCAUGCCAUAUUCAUCCUGCUACAUCUCUGCAUCCGUAGCUCCGUUUUGCGCGUGUAAUAUGUCAAAUUGUUUGCCCGACGAGUACUUCAUUUCAUUCCAUUGCAUCAUUUUCAUUUGAGCUCAUCUUGAUGUCCGAAAUGCUGUUGGAAGAGUGCAUGUUGAUGUUAAUCUGCUGAAACUGUUAUAACUUGCUGUUUUAUCAUUUUUGCCAUGAUUGAUGUGUGCAUCCUAUGAGGUUGAGCUCUACAUGAAUGUUGAACUAUGCCAUGCCAUCUUUCCAGGGGUGUUAACCAUGUAUUUUUGUGAGUUGUGUGCUGAGUGUAUCAAGCUGGUUAAGUAGGGUAGUUGCUGUUGCUGUUUUCCUGACAGAUUCUGUUAUAUUUUGUUGCUAUGUUAACAUGCCUCUACUAAUCAUUCUAUGCAUAAUCUGGAGAUGCUCUAUAAACAUGUUUUGAACUACAUGUCAUGCUCUAUCCAUUCAUGCCCUUGGUUGCAAUUAUAGCCUGCUGGAACAUGUUGUAAGCUUGCUCUAAAGUUGCUUGAAAAUGUUAAUGUCAACCUGUUAACAUUAAGUUCACUUGUUCCCAUGUGUUUUCCUAGUGAUCCAUGUACCCUAUGAACUUGCUCUUGCCAUGCUUAGCUUCAUAAACAUGCCUUCUUACUGUUGGUUGCCUUGCCAUGCCAUGUAUUGCUCUGUGGUGAGUGAUUCAAGCUCACGAACAUGCCUACUUAUUGUUGUUCCUGCCAAGUUAUGAAUCUGUAAUAUAACUUGCCAUGUUUACAUGGGUGCCAUCAUAUUUUCUAUGCCUUUUUAGCUCAUGGUCAGUAAGGGUCUUUUGAUAUAUGCUAUUAGUAGAUUCAUGCCAUGCCUUUGUUUGCCAUGUUAAGUUCCUGUAACAUGUUGUUUGAUAGCUCUGAACAUUGCAACCUGAUGUUAUUUCCUGAUAAGUCUGAAACUGUUAUUAUUUGCAAUAUCUCCAUGUCUUUUUGAGCAUGUUCUAGUUGUUUCUGGAGAUAGCUCAGUGUUCAUGUUUUGUUAUGCUUUACGUGUACUUCAUGCCCAUGUCUUUUGUUAUUAUGUUGGGGUGCUGUAGCAUGUUGUUUUGAUGCUUGUAAGAUGCCUAGUUGCUGUUAUGGACAGAUUGUUGCUAUGACUUGUAUAGAGUGUGUGUGUCGAACCGUUGCUCCGUUUUGAGUGUGCUCUAUAUGAAACUUGCUUGAUUUUGCAUGUUGUUUCAUAUUAUCAUGUUGCAUCCUUGUUUUGGUGUGUUUGCUUGAUGUUUGUUUGCAUUUUGCAUCAAUGCCAUGUUUAACUUGUUUUGCUCAUAUCUUCUAGGCCGUAGCUCCGAAUAUAAUGAACCUUAUAUGUAACUUGACUAGAAUUUCGUGUAGAUUCUCUUGGUGAUCUUUAACUUGCUGUUUAAAAACUUCAACAUAAGGUUUAUUCAGUUCUGGACCAAUUUCGAAAUAUGCAUAUGAGGACUUACCAGAAUUGUUAUAUGUUGUUCCCGGCCUCAUUUAAACUUGCCUUGAUGUGUUGUUCUUGUUUGCAUCAUCUCUUGCCAUGAGUAGCUUCAUUUAGCUUGGUCAUGCAUCAUGCUUGUUGUGCAUCAUGUCUUGUUCAUGUGUGGUGUGUUUACCUAUGUUGUGUGCUUCUUCUUGUUAGUUCCUGUUUUGUUGCGAUCGUGAGGAUCCGUUCGUCUUCUUCAUGGACUCGUUGUUCUUCCUUGCGGGAUUUCAGGCAAGAUGACCGCUACCCUGGAUCUCACUACUAUCAUUGCUAUGCUAGUUGCCUCGUUCUUUCGCUAUGCUGCGCUACCUAUUACCUGUUUGUCCAGCCAUCCCAAAUUGCCAUGAACCUGUAACCUUUGACACCAUUCCUAGCAAACCGUUGUUUGGCUAUGUUACCGCUUUGCUCAGCCCCUCUUAUAGCGUUGCUAGUUACAGGUGAAGUUGAAGAUUUCUCCAUGGUGGACAGGGUUUAUGUUGGGAUAUCACAAUAUCUCUUAUAAUACUAAUGCAUCUAUAUAUUUGGUAAAGGGUGGAAGGCUCGGCCUUAUGCCUGGUGUUUUGUUCCACUCUUGCCGCCCUAGUUUCUGUCAUACCGGUGUUAUGUUCCCGGAUUUUGCGUUCCUAACGCGGUCGGGUGAUUUAUGGGACCCCCUUGACAGUUCGCUUUGAAUAAAACUUGUCCAGCAAGGCCCAACAUUGACUUUUACCAUUUGCCUCACCACCACCUACUUUUCCCUUGGGAGUAAUUAACCCAAGGGUCAUCUUUAUUAUAGCCCCCCCGGGCCAGUGCUUGUCUAAGCGUUGGUCCAAACUAGAGCACCGUGCGGGACCAUCCCUUGGCAACUUGGGUUACGUCGGUACCUGUACGCUUCGCUUAUCCGGUGUUGCCCUGAGAACGAGAUAUGUGCAGCUCCUAUCGGGAUUGUCGGCACAUCGGGCGGCUUUGCUGGUCUUGUUUUACCAUUGUCGAAAUGUCUUGAUGUACCGGGAUACCGAGUCUGAUCGGAGUGUCUCGGGUGAAGGUCUAUUCCUUCGAUGAUCGCGACAGCUUGUCAUGGGCUAAGUUGGGACACCCCUGCAGGGUAUAAACUUUCGAAAGCCGUGCCCGCGGUUAUGUGGCAGAUGGGAAUUUGUUAAUGUCCGGUUAUAGACAACUUGACACCAGAUCCGAAUUAAAACGCAUCAACCGAGUGUGUAGCCGUGAUGGUCUCUUCUCGGCGGAGUCCGGGAAGUGAACACGGUUUCUGGGUUAUGUUUGACGUAAGUAGGUGUUCAGGAUCACCUCUUGAUCAUUGCUAGCUUCACGACCGUUCCGCUUGUUCUCUUCUUGCUCUCAUUUGCGUAUGUUAGCCACCAUAUAUGCUUAGCCGCUGCUGCAACCUCACCACUUUACCCUUCCUUUCCCAUUAAGCUUUGCUAGUCUUGAUACCCAUGGUAAUGGGAUUGCUGAGUCCUCGUGACUCACCAGAUACUUCCAAAACCAGUUUGCAGGUGCCUAUGUUACCGAGCAGGUGACGCAACCAAUCUCAAGGAGGAGCUCGAUGAAGAUCUUGCCCUUUGUGUUGUUUCGUUCUAGUUGAUCAGUAGUGGAGCCCAGUUGGGGUCGAUCGGGGACCUUUGUCGCAUUUGGGGUUCUCCUUUUAUUUUGGUUCCGUAGUCGGACCUUGUUUGUAUCUGGAUGAUGUAAUGCUUUACUCAUGUAAUUGUGUGAAGUGGCGAUUGUAAGCCAACUAUGUAUCUCUUUCCCUUAUGUAUUACUUGGGUUGUGUGAAGAUUACCUCACUUGCG